CGGAGGAUUCAGACCCAAUUUAGCUAUUGUGUAGGACACUGGGAAUGUUUGGGCUGCUGCUGGACACACGGGGCUUGCUGCUGAAAGUUCUGUGUUCAGGGAGAAAUUUCCUAUGGGAGGAGUGAGGGACGUGAGGUGCUUGACAAGUAGCCUGAUUCAGGUGGAGCGGAAGUUAGGCAAGUUUGAGACAGCGCUGCUGGUGAUGAGGAGGAGGAGAUGUGUGUCUGUGCAUGUGUGUACGUGUGCGUGUGUGAGAGAGAGAUGGCGGGGAGUACCAGGGAGACAGACACCAUGAAUUGUCCCUUCCUGUCUUUAUGACACAAGGUCAGAGGCUGCCUCUAAACCAAGAUGGCGAACCUUUUAGAGCUUUUAAUGACACGCACGGCCAGCUGUGGCUCACGAGCCUGGGUGCCCACCAGGGCCCUGGGGCCGCAUCAGCACUGUGGGUAACAGGCCUCGGGCCUGUCAGUCAGUCGGUAUGAGACAGCUGGGCGAGUCUCAUUUGUGUGGUGACCAGCCGAGCACACUGAUAGCCAUUAGUUCUUUGGGCCCAAGGUCGUGAAAUAGUUACUAUUAUUCACACCUGUCACAAAUGUAGAACCUUAACUAGCAGAGAAGUGUAAUGUCUUGCUGGAAGUCAGGUCUUUGAGAAGGCAAUGCAGGGCUCGAUUCCGGAACUUUCAGGCAACGAAUGUGCACAGUCUCCGUGUGGAGUGGUUCUCAAACCAGGGGACUAACGGAAGGGUGGCCGGCAAUCCCUGGAUCCUGUGAUGCGUGUUCAAGUGGUGCCACAGGCUGCCAGCGCUCAGAGCUGUGCUUUCGUCAUCACUGGAAACAGGCUUCUCUGAAUAUGUGCAAAGAUGAGAAACUUCAGGAGGCUUUGAAGAGCUUGGAGUCACCGUUAGCACAAAGAGAUGGGCAAUUGCGGCUGGCUGUGGUGGUACAGGCUGGAACCCUACCACUGGGGAAGCUGAGGCAGGAGGAUUGGAUGUUGAAGGUCAGCCCAGGCUGUAUUCUAAGAUCGAGGCAGCCUGAAGUACAGAGAGACCCUAUCCUCCCCCAAAAAAGAUGAUCAAAUGAGGCAUACAGUCUUUAAUUAAAAAGUUUGCUGUAAUAGCAUAUUUAAAAUAUAAUAUGCUAUCAUUAUGAUGCGUGAGUGUAAAAUGAUUGGUACUGUAGGCUCACAAAAGUGGUUUAAGUGAUACGAAGCGAUUUGUGGCUUGUUCAAGUAAUUGCUUUGAAGGAUGUGGUGGACAUUUACAUGUAUAAAUGCUGGUGUGAUAUUCAAAACGGUUCUGUUCUUUUUUCACACUGCACUUUCUUUUUUCAAAUUUUUGUUUUUAUUAGUACAAGUUGCAGUGCAUCGUGAUUACACUCAUUGUAGGGAGUUGGUGGAUGCACGUAACACAUCUUCGUGCUCUUUGCUUUCCCUUCGUCUCCCUUCCCUCCUCUCUGGGUCCUCUUCCCAUUUGAGGAAGUUCUGCCUCCCUGCUUCCUAUUAUCUCUCUCGUACUUUGCUCUUUAUUUGUCCUUUGGGUUUCUCAUGUUGGAGAAACCAGGCAGGAUUUAAGCCUGUGCUUCUGACUUAUUUCACUCCACACUAUGGUCUCAAGGUGCAUCCGUUUCCCUACAAAAGACUCGUUUGUCUCGCUUAUGGCAGAGUAGUGCUCUGCCGUGUGUAAAGACCACAUUUUCUUAUCUACUGUUCUGUUGAUGGAUGUAGGCAUUUCUCCUUUCAAAGACAGACGCUGUAUCUAUCAGUUAUAAAGGCAUUCUGAAAUUAAAGCAUGCCAUUUAGAGUGUCCGUACUUAGACCAUUAAGUUACCUUUGUACUGUACUGGAAGAACAACUGCAAUGCCACUUCUGCCAUAGACGUGUGCCUCUCACUGCUACUCCUAGGCAAGGACAAUCGGUCUAGAGGAUGAAGGGCCGCAGUUCCCCCUGUUGAGAUACAAAUGGUGAAGGGGGAUCUGCUCCAGUUGAGCCCAGCCUGGUCACGUGUGCGUGGGUGCGUGUAGGUGGGACAGCCGGCAGCGCCCCUGGGAGUCAGCGCUGUGGCUGGGCAGGGCUCUCGAUGCGGGAGGGCCCCGCUGCUGUCCAGUGUCUGCCUUGGCCAAGGCUCUGCCCGCGACACCACGUUGUCACCCGCUGGACACCCACUCCCGGUCUGAUUAAGCUCCGUACCCAGCCGUUUACCGGGCAGAGGCACAGGGCCUUUCUCCUGCGACCGCCGUCAGAGUCCACUUCCUCUUUCUCCCCCUGCUGUCCACCCUGUCGGGCCUGAAGCCGCCCAUCGGGAGCGCACGCGCCUGCCCAGCCUGGGUUUGGGCCAGGGUUCUAGUGCUUUCCAGAUUUCUUGCACUUUCUAGUGCAAAUGCGUUUCUGGGUCUUCUUUAUGCUUUUUCUCCCCCUCUUCUCUUCUGCUUCCCUCCCUUCACUUUUUGGAGGCAGGAUUUCACUCUGGAGACCAGGCUGGGCUUGAGCUCUCGAUCUUCCACCCCUGCCUCCGGGUGCUGGGAUGAGGUUCGGGAAACCCAGGAGCGUUUGUGUCCGCAGCGGUGGGAAGGACGAUGAGCAUCGUCUUCCGAGCGCAGCUGCCCUUGAAGCUGCUGCUCUGCCGUCUGACCCCUGGGGCGCCUCCCCGCGGGGCCUGCCCGUUGGGUCGCCCUCUGCCCGCGGCUGGGCCGGUCCGCGGCCUCGCACCCCGCCGCGCACGGGUCCUUCCCCGGGCCGGGUCGCACAGCUCCUGCGACACACUUUCAAACCGGCCCCGCCGUCCGUUACGUCUCGAGACCUCUCGUAAUGAAAGUACUCGGUUCAGAACAGGAAUAAUAAUGUGAAGCAAAUGAAAACGAAGGCGUCUAGGCAAGGAACAACGUACUGCUAUCUUGUGAAGAAGUGUUGCCAGGGCGACAGGCCUGGAAAUGGGCAAGUGACAGGAAAGGACAUGUGAUUUCUUCUGUGUGUGCACCUGCUGAUGUGAGAGCUGAGUACUAUGCUGUCCUCUCCAGCCACCAGAAUCAUGAUCCAAGUAAACUUCCUUACUUUGGAGAGACCAUGUGGUGCAGGCUGGGAUCUGGAGAAGAAAAGAGGAGAAUUAGAGGAAGGUGUAAGAGGUUGGGGAAGGGCAUUUUGGGUGAGGAGAAUGCCUGAGAAAAAGACAGAGAAGAAAUUACUGGGCUCGCCAAGGAAUGGUGAGUGGUGUGGUUCUAAUGGAGUAAACUACUGGUAAGUUAGCAUUUAUUGCAAGGUUUGGAAGAUUUUUCUGUAAGGGGC
rnacentral:lncRNA from 1 species